rnacentral:rRNA from 1 species
GAGUUUGAUCAUGGCUCAGAACGAACGCUGGCGGCAGGCCUAACACAUGCAAGUCGAGCGCACUCUUCGGAGUGAGCGGCGGACGGGUUAGUAACGCGUGGGAAUAUGCCCUUCUCUAAGGAAUAGCCACUGGAAACGGUGAGUAAUACCUUAUACGCCCUUCGGGGGAAAGAUUUAUCGGAGAAGGAUUAGCCCGCGUAAGAUUAGAUAGUUGGUGGGGUAAUGGCCUACCAAGUCUACGAUCUUUAGCUGGUUUUAGAGGAUGAUCAGCAACACUGGGACUGAGACACGGCCCAGACUCCUACGGGAGGCAGCAGUGGGGAAUCUUGGACAAUGGGCGCAAGCCUGAUCCAGCCAUGCCGCGUGAGUGAUGAAGGCCUUAGGGUCGUAAAGCUCUUUCGCCAGAGAUGACCAAUGACAGUAUC